GGAGCAAGCCCGAAGUGUUUGCUCACUGCUCUAAUCUCUUUAAUCUCUUGCUGGCUUGUAGUUUCUCUUUGGGAACUCAGUGCUUAUGCUGAAGCUGAGGCUUUCCUGGAGGGGUCUGGCUGAAUACUGAUAUCCAACUUCCUAUAGAAAAAACCCUAACUUCAUUGUUCAGAGACAUUGUUCAUUUCUCUUCCUUCAAGAAACACCAAUGACAGAGACCUUACAUCUGCUGGUGUUCUGCAGAACUGAUACACAUCUGGGAAAAUGACAUGUUUUGAAGGAAGUGGGCACCUCUCUUUCCCUUUCUUGUGAAGAGACCAUGUGAAGGUCGUGCUUGGGACAACGUGUGUCUAUCAGGAGAGAACGGGAUUUGGGAUAAUGCUCGGAAAGGCAUGGAAGGGAGUCUUGCUCAUGGCCGUGACAGUGGUGGAGGCUGCACAACUGCCACGCAGAGGCUGGUGUUGAUUUUCCUACUUUGAAUAAAAUGUAAGGGAAUUCCAGUAAGUAUUUCUUUCAAGUAUUUCAAAUGGAUGAAUUAUUGUUCUGCGCUCAUUUAAUAACAAGCUGUUCCUUUUGAAUGCCUUCUUUAAAAGUAUUUUUCUUUUGAACUCCAUGAGAGGUGCACUCAAAUCAAUGUCUAUUAUUCUCUCCAUUUUCUAAUGUUCUUUCAAGUAUAUAUAUAUUUUCUGAGAGAAAGAUUAAAACCCAUUCCUGAUAUUUGCCUUUACCCAUUCAGACUCCAUUCCGCUCUGACGUUUCCUGAGUUCAGAAGCUAAUCACAAAGUAAUCAUCUUUCUGUUAAUGCGAAGAGGUGAAAGCUGCCUUUUGUCAUUGGUGGAAAUGUUCAUCUGUAUAACAUAAAUAAUGUUAUUAACUGCUUAAUUUGAAUUUCAGAUUUCUGUAAUUUGAAAUGAAUGUAUUUUCAGAUUUCCCUAUGUAGUUCCCAUUGCUCUCUUUAACGUACAUGAUUUCAGGUACCCUGGUUCUGAGCCCUUGCACAUACCCUUGUAAACAUAUAACAUUUUUGAUGUGUGGGUGAGAAUCUGUGGUGACGUAACAUGCUUUUUUUACAUCUUGUCUAUGUGCACGAGUCUGUUUAAAGUAGGAGGAAAAUGAAAAAUAUUAAUGGGGUCACUUAAAGAAUUCAAGUUUCUAUUUGUUAAAAAAUACAAAAAGGAAGUCAGAUAAUGCACUAAACUGGACCAGAACUUUGCAGGCUGAACUGCACUCUACUGCACCAUUCCUAUCUGCAACUUAAGCUGCGUCCAGCAUGAACUUGAAAAUGGAAACGGAUCAGCUUCCACAGAAUUUGGACUGGGAAAACUAUUUUGUUGAGGUUUCCGGUUCAAAUUGCUUCAAAAAUUUCUUGUUUCACAUCUUCCUUUGUUUCAAAUGGAAGUAAUAAACCCAUCCUUUUGCCUGUGAUUCCUGAACUCUCCUCAUAAAUGUAUAUUAUGAAUGUUUCUUUUUAGACAUGGAAAGCUACAAAUAAUAAUAUUUGCAAUUAUGAGUAGUACUUCAGAAUUAAAGAUGAAAGCACUUGUAGAAGCAGUUAAUUCAUUAUUCAAAAAGUUGUCAGUAGGCUCUAUUAAUAUUGCCUGAGAUAUUUUUUUUCUGUGGAGAUCCCAAAAACUUGUGCUGCUAGCUCACACCAGAGCCAUCAAGAGCUGUUCAGAUCAGUGAUUCUUGUUGCAAGAGAGAAAGUUAAUGCAAAAGGUAAAAAGAAAUAAGGUCAGUCAGUCCAACUACUUAAAUUCCUGCUUUGUUCCCUUGAAAACUAGUCCAGACACUUAAAUUCCAGUCUGUAUUACUAGAAAGAUCUCUGGUAAUUCAUAUUAAAUAUAACUGCAGUGUUUCCAUAGAGAUGAUGUUUAGCAUAAAAAUAGCUGAAACAUUUUGACAUUGAUUCUGAGGCUACAGUUCAUAACAUCUUAUUUUACUACUGCUACCCUCAGCAAUGCUGAAGUAUAGAAAUAAAUCCUUCUUUUCAAAUGGUGUAACAAAAUGUGUAAAGGUAAGAAAAAUUAGCAAAAUAAUAACUGACUCGCUUGUCUGUAAAUGGCUGUAUGCAACUUAGCUUCUUACAGCAGAGGUAUGUUAAAAUGAAAAUUUUAAAGAAAAUUUCCACAAAUUAUAGGUCUGUGGGGUCGGACAAGGGGAGAGAAAAUGUUAGUUAAUAAAGACAUUUGAGUUUUGUGGAAGAAGCGAGAAACAUUGAUUUCGGUUGGUUUGCAUUAUUGGCACUGACUGCAGGAAUAUUUUCAGUAUAGCUUAAGGUGUUUCUAGAGGUGAAACAAAAUUAUCUCCCUGAACAGUCUAGUGAGCAGACGAUGAGAACAGAGAGAUUUUUUGGGCUUCAUCCUAAAAAAGGAGCCAAAUCUGAUGAACGGAGGUGAAACUGAAGAUUCAGUGAUUAUAAUAUCAUUACACAGGAAAUUUAGUUUGGGCUAUUUGCAUUUCAUGGUAGAUUUUCAGUAAGGUAGAGUUGGAAUGGCAAGCAGAAGGAAAUCCAUAGAGUUAAAAUUAUGGGAUAAAGAAUGUCUCUCAGUCAGUAAGGGAUGAAAUGAACCCUGCAGCAUGGUGAUGCCAUCAAAAGGUAUAACCAGGAUACAAGGGGCUGUGGUCAGAUAGGCUCUUCUAGACUUUUGUAUUUAGCAGCUCAGGGCUUGGGGUAGAUCUGCUCUGCACACAGUUGCAGGUGCAUUUCAAUGACAAGAAACAUUUAAAUGGAUUCAACUGUGAUUAAAUAAGGAAUGAAAAAAGUUAGUGGGGAAGGAGGGAAGAGGAGACAGUUGUUCAUAUAUGCAGAUGGCCAACCUGAGUUCAUGGAUCGGCCACUUGAGUACAAGACCAGGAAUGGAGAAAUGCUGAAUUACUGAUGGAAGUACUUUACCAUAAUUUUUGCACACAAUCCAUCAUUUGUAUGCAUUUGAAAAGCCUGGGUGAAAUUUAACAACACAUACUUUGUUGAACCAUGCAUAGUUUCAAUCAGUUUCGUACAUGUACAAAUCAGGUGGGAAAUAGUUUAUACAGUUUGGGGUUGCUAUACUGCGCUGCAUCUCCAGUUGACUGUACCAAAGAGCUGUUUAAUUUGCUUGCAUUAAAUAACAUAUGUUCUCUCUUUGUGCCAAACACUAUACCAAACAUUUGCAUACUGCUGUCAAUAAUAUAUCCUUUAGGACUAAUGCCACGUGAUUUAAAUACCCACUCUCUGAAGCUCUUCUCGGUUUCUGCAAAGUGUAUUGCACAGAGACAGCUUAAGCCCAGUAACAAAUUGACUUUUCUUCCUUUUGAGUGCCGAAGUACCUCCAUAACUCAGGCUGUCAAAAAUGUACGUGGGUAUGUCAGCAAUAUACCACUGUUACUUAGAUGUGUUGGUUUUUUUUCAUUAUUUGCUUCACUUUCAAAAUGCCACUGUAUUCAAACUGAAACUCUUUCCUAAGGAAACAAAUGCACUUCCUUUUUAACUAUGUAUCCUGACUCAAGCUAAUAUCCUGCUGUGCACAACUCCCAAAACUUAAAAUUAAAUGGUUUUGGCUUCAGGACAGGAAGACAGUCAAGCCAUUAGUGGACUGUGCAGCUCAUUAAGGCACUUGACUUUCAUUCCCAAUGAGUGCCCAUGACCAGUGAAUUUCUGCAUCUGUGAAAUGGAUGCAGCCAUCUCCAAGGAACUCAUCAAGGGGGUGCAAAAAAUGUUAUGGGAUCCCUUGUUAGGAACGCUUCAACUCCAGUUUGUCCCAGCUCCAUUUCACUGAAGAAAGCAGGAGAGGUAAGCUUGUCUGGGGACCAGUGGGAAAUCCAGUUAGAAAAAGCAGGAGUUGGGUGAGCACCUCCCUUGAGUUGCUCCUAGGGACUGAAAUUCUAGGCGUGUGCUGACAAAAGACCUCAAAUACCUGUUUGACCAUAUGUUGUCCUCCUUAAAAGAGUUGUUUCUUACUAAAAAUAAUAAAAUACAUUUCAAAUAGAUAUUUUAAACAACUAUAAAUUCUAGUUUACAUGUUUUUGGUUUUUUUUAUGUUCUCUGCAAUGAUUUUGCUUAGUCUUCUGCACCUGACAUAUGCAUGCUUCUCAUGGCCUGUUAGAUAUUGUCUUAAAAAAUCAUCUCAUUAUUUUGCCUUUUGAGUGGCCAGAUUCUCACAGGGAGCUUAUUUCAUGUAAUGUGGAAGUUGUUGAGUGACUGUGCACAACUUCCACUGGAAGUCAGGUCUAAUCAAAAUAUAAUUAUUCUAAAUUGUCAAGAGGCUUCAGAAACAAUAGAAUCAACAUAGAGGCGGAAACCAACUGACUCAAUUUCAGACAUGAUCCUUGUGUCCUCUGUGGGAUUUUGGCCAUUUCAAAUUUAAUUCUCCCAAGGCUGUGGUGGGUAAGCAAGGGUUGGGGUCAGGUGGUGCUUGAAGCAAUUUGACAGCCUGGUCUGGUGCACUGCUAAGCAUUGCUGGGAUCCUGACUUAUUGCCAGGAUUGGUCAUUAUUGUAGCAGAGAUGCUGAUCUAGAAGACAGUGUAGUUCAGGUUGCUUUUUUGGCAAACCCUGCAAUUAAACACUGGAAGAAGCAAGAGACAACCUGGAGGAGAGAGGAUAUGCAUAUAGCAGGAGAUUUGCUUUAAGAAAAACAAUAAAAUUUCUCUGACAGGGAGAAAUUAUGGUCCCAGGUUAACAUCACAAGGAAAAUACAAUUAAAUGCAUCUUCCCAAUUGUUGAAGAGUUGGAUGAAGAAACAGAAUCGGUCACUCAGUGUUGGUGCUUACCUGAAUCCGAAGAAUCUUUGCUCAAUUUUAGCAUGAGAUGCUGGAUGAGGUGGAAGCAGAUCCAGGAAGUAUGAUUUAUUUGUACUAAAAAUAUGUGUUAUUUGACUUUUUUUGGUGGUAAGUUUUAGGUUUAAGCAAUACAGUACAAACUGUAGACACCUUGAAGUGUGGAGUUCUUAGGCAAAAAGUCUGAAAAACCUACUAGAUAAGGCUGAAAGCAAUGGUUUGCUGACUCUGUUUGGGCUCCAUGAAUUCAGCUUUUCCGGAAUUGAGGUGUGUGCUGGUUUCUAGUGAUCCUUGGUUAUCUGCAGCAACAAACAAAGCAAUUGUGAGAGGUUCAGCUGUGGAAAGCAUCAGAGCUGCAGGGUUUGAGGUGCUGGGGCUGUGGGUUUCCCCUCUAGUCAAGGAUUUCAAGAGAAAGCAAGAGAUCCAAGCAGUAAAGUUAGGGAAAAUUAUUCUUAAGUUUUUUUUUUCUAUUAACCUCAAAGAUUGCAAUGUGAUCAUGAACUGCUUUCAACUGAGCAAUAAGAAGCACUGUACCUAGAGAUGCACAGCCAUUUUUUCUCUUUUCUUUAUUAUUUUUGCUUAUGGUAAUGCAGUUACAGACAUCCAGAGCUCUUUUGAGAUAAUGCAGAGGAAACCCUGUAGGUACAGUGACAGAAAUGGCAAUUAUAGCAACACCGGAGCAGAGAUGUCUCCAUCAAUCACAUCAUGCUCAGGUGUUGGGAGAUUCAGAUUUGGAAAAGGUGCCCCAAGGGAGGGAGCCUCAGAAAGAAAAGCAGUGCUUGAAUGGGGCCGUGAGGAUCAAAUGUCUUUGCUACGUUAUUAAUAUCUGUGCUGGCAGAUGUAGGGAAAAAGCCUGGCACGUGGGAUAUGGAGCAAAUUAUGUACGAUGUGGUGCGAGAAAGGUGUGAGCCUUCAUGGGAUGAAAUAAAUGAAUUCAGAGAGUAUUUCUUAGGCUGGAGAAGGAAGUGAGACUCUGAAGGAAGUUCUGAGGAGCUCAUGUGAAUGGAGUUCUUCAAAACAUUGGGAGAUUUGUUAAUGAAAUGGGGAAAUAUCCAUAAAUUCUCCAGUUGGCCUAAGUGACAUACAUAGGACAAACAAACAAAUUUCUGUUAUAACUAGAUUGUGGAAUUACUUUCAAGAACAUUUAGUCCAUAAACCUGAUUUUGCAAUGACUACGGUAACUCUGUUAGCAGGCAGCUCCCUCCUGUUAGUGCAAGCAGCUCUGAGGGAUUGUGCCUUCCAGAAUAAGGAUAAUAACAAGACACACUGUCUUUAAUCUUAUGUUUUGAAGUGUCUUUUUUAUUAACAAAUUGCCAUCGCUUGUUUUUAAAGCGGCAGUCAGCAAUGAUGAAUCUCACAAGCCCAGGGCUAUCGUUAAAGCAGAGACAGUGACCUUCUUCUUACUUCAUUUGCAGGUUCAGCCACUGCAGACUCCCUUGGGAUGGAAGAUUGUUUCCAUGCCAGUCUUGGGAAGCUUUACAGCUCCUGGUGAGCUCAGCUUUCUCUGCAAGCAGUGGUAAUGUUGGAGCAGGGGCUGGCUGGCCAUUACUGCUCAAGCCCUGCAUUUGGUUGAAAGAAUUCCCUGGAAGGACCAACUCGGGGCUAUAACUGAGCUCAGCACAGUGAGAUACCCAGCGUCAGUGUGUAUUGGUCCUUUUGCAUAAUGUUGCUUGAUUAUUGUUUCAUUAUUGUAGCCUUGAACUGUGCUUUCCUCUUCCAUCUGCCUCUUAACUUGCUGCUUGUGAGACUGGAUGAGAGAGAGCACCGGCGCUUCCUUCUUAGGAGGUACAGUUUCUGCAGCUGCUUCUACUUUUGUUCUAGAAGCUUUGAGGAAAACAAUAUAGAAAGUUUCCUUCUGAUAGCUGUGUGUAAUUUGUGCUACUGCCUCAGGAGUUCAUUUGCCAAGCUCAGUCUUUGCUGAAGCAGAGGCUCCAUCUCACAAACCUGAGCGUGUCCAUAUGCUUACAUGCAGAUCUGACACACUGUAAUGCUCCUGCAAUUAACUUCACUGUUAAGAUAAAGGAAGGUAGUACCCCUUCAUUUGGCGUAUCUCACUUUGACUAUUAUAAAAAAUUUAGAGUGUUAGUAAAUAAUAAAGUAGCUUUGUUUUCUUCCCAGCUCCACAGAACCAAGAGAUGGGGAGGGGGUGAGGGGAAACGAGAGCAUUAAUUUUUAAUCUCUCUCUUUUCUUGUCCAGCCUGAUGGGGUACAGAAAGGGAUGAAUCCAAGCAGCUCAGUCAAGAAUCAAUGCUUCUCCUGCAUAUUUUUAUGCAUGCUUCUACUGCACUGGAUGCAAGGAACAUACACAGUGCUGAGGUUGGGGUUCUGGCUGAGCCAGGCAGCAGGGCUUCCACUUGCACUUUGCAGCAAAAGGUCCCCAUUUUCCAGACUUGCAUCUUGCUCUUUAUCACAGCCAAGUGCAACUGAGCUCAACCUGGCAUAGCAAAAGAAGAGUGAGUUAAAUCUUGUUCCAGGAGCGAAAAAUGGAACCUCUUUCUGAUUUUUUCCUACGUUCUUUCUCCCCUGAUAGUGGCCAAUCAGAAAGGCCACUGUCCCUCUGUGAGUUCUGCCUCAGCUCCUGCCUAAAGGCCAUACCUAUGGCUCUGAUUUUUGCUGGACUUGUUCUUGCUUUGACCACCUUUGAAUCAGUCUGUGCAAAUGGUAUAAAUAGCAAACAGGGAUAUUAUUCAUUGAUUUUUAUAUCAAAUCCUAGUACUGCCUCAAGGAGAGAAGGCUUUUUAUUAUUAUGAAACUGCAAUUUUGAAAUAACCUAUUUGGUUGGUAUUGGUCUGGAUCCUGACAGCUGGUCGUGGAGAGAUGGGUUGUGGCUGCUGAUGCACAGAGCCUGAGAGAAGUGUUUCACCACAUGGGACAGGGAAACCAAAUCUCACUUUUAGUGCUGUGCUUGGAGCAAGCAGCUUGCAGAGGUAGGGCUUGAGCCUUUUCAUUGUUUUUAUGUGGCUUUAAGAGUUCCAUAUCCAAGCUGGCCAUGCCAAGUUCUCCUGCAUGGGUACUCUUGGGGCUUUGGUGUAUGAGAUUGACAUAGGCAACGGGCACAUGCUGCCAUGUGGGGAAGUCCUGAACCUGUGUCUGCCACCAGCGUGGUUAAAAGAAGAGCCAGUAAAUAAAUAUAUAUUUUAUUAAGAAAAAAGGCUGGGUGAGGUCAGCGCGGUGGCAGCCCUGAUGCAGCAUCCUGCUUUGUGCAGGCACUGCAGUCUGUGAAACUGGGCUUUUUAUCCUCUCUUAGAAGUUAUUUUGGCUCUGCUAGAAAACAGGUCUUUUAAAGAAGAAACGAAAAGAGUGAAGGAGCAACCGUGAGAAUGAUAAUGAGUUUCAUAUUCCACAAAGAUCAAAGUCUGAUAGACACUUAAAAAAACCAUCAGGCACCGGAACAUUUCGGGUAUUUAAAGAUGAUGCAGCUGUAGUUCUGUUUGGAGACAGUCUCAUUUCUUUGUAACCAAAACAUCAGUUCCUGUUUGAAGCAUUUUGUCCGAACUAUAAAGAUGUUUCCCACUCCGGCAAUUUCCCAUAAGCUGCUGUUUGAAUUGCUCAGUAGCAAUACGCUGCUCGCUUUUCAGUGUGUACGGGCGGGCAUCUGCAUUUCCUUCUGCCCAGUGCCUCUACAAAUUGCUCUCCCUGUAAAUCAAAGUGAAAUCUGAGCAGAGAUUUUUCUGAUUCUGUUUACAGCCCUGAGGUUUGUGGCCCUUUCUGGAUGUCACACUCGCAAUGUCUUUCCCGUGAAGAAUGCAAAAGUGCUCGUCUGUAGCCACGGGGAGCUGCCAACAAUAUGUGCACGUAUAUAGAUAUGUGUAUAUGUAUAUUUACAUAUGUAUUCUCUCUCCCAUCACAAAAAAUAAAGAAGUGUACUGCUAGGCUCUAAAAGUAGCCUAAUUUGUAAUUUCCUUAGUUCUCCUUGCUAUUUCUUUAUGCACUCAUCUGAGUUUGGUAGAAAUUAGUUAAGUCUUCAGAUGAUUUUGGCAAGUUUUAGAACCAGAAGCUUUUCUGAAGGGUUGCAGGAUAACCAUUAAAUGUACAGUUAUGGGUGAGGUCAAGCGGAGAAAAUGCAGUGAGGAGAGCAUGGGGCAGAGGGAUGGGAAGGAGGGAUCCCCAUGGUGUCAUAAAUAGAAAUAGGAAAGUAGGUGUCAGUGCUCCACCUGUAAACAUGAUCCAGUCUGAGUACAUCCAUUGGGCAGGAUUUAAUUAGCAGUUGGAAGUGCAUGAAGGAGAGAGGCUCUGGGAAAAACUUCCCAGGAAAAGCUCAUUCCUUUUUUCUUCAGUGGAGCGAUUUAUGAGUUGUUGAACCCGUUCCUUUGUGAUGCUACACAAUUGCUGUGGUUUUAUUGAUUAAAACGAGUCGAUAAAAAUUUAUACUUGCUUAGUUGAUGGUCCAGAGCUUUUCAGUUCCUCUUACAGGUAUCAAGGGAGAAUGUAGGCGGAGCAGUAUGCAUCUGAGCUUCAGGGAGAGCUAAGAAUACAGCAUACCCAUUCACCAUGGAUCCUGAUUUAUUCUUUCCUGGAGGAAAGUUCUCAGUUCAACAGAAACGGCUGUCAAGGCAUUUGCAGACUUUCCUGCUUUGCACAGAAAUUAAUGCAGCUGUUCCUGACUGAGCUGAAGAUGACCACUUCCAGAGAAGCCCUAUCCAUGCCCAUCCAAAAGUCCCCAUCUCCAUGUGAGCAAACAGCUGCAGGUGUUUUUUAAGCAUCUGAAGUACAACUGCUGUUGUGCAAAUGGUAAGCACAGUUUUUGUCCUGGCACCCCCCGUGAUUGCAGCAAGACUCUUAACCUAUUUCCAUAUUGCAAUGUGCUGCUUCAGACUGUGAGACAUAAAUAUGUUCCCAGCACAGAUCUCCUUCCUUCUUUCCAGGCAGGAGUGGUUUAGGAUCCAGCUAGAACAUGAAACGUAAGAAACAAAGCUGUUACAAUGAGAGAUUAUUCAAGUGUUGUUGGAGAUGAGAGAAUGGAAUUAAAGAUUUCAAGAUGAUCAUUUGUGCUAUGCCAUGAUAAUAAAUUAUUUGUGCACCUUCUUAAAUCAUUAUAUCCUACCUGUCUUAUGUAUUAGAAAUCUUAGGUGGGAAGGCAGCAAAAUCUCAGUAUUUAGGAUGAAGUUAAUGAGCUGGACUACUGUUAUACCAAGAAAAGAAUUCUCAGUAGAUGACAAAUUAUUAGUACUAGAGAGCGGGUCCUUUUCAUAAUUAUUUUUCUUUGCACAAUACAGGAGAGUCUAGAGGUUCAUAAUAGAUUUUUAUAACAAUAAAGGGAAAAUUUAAAUCCUUACCAGUAAUCAAGUGAUACUGCUCUACGGUAAUGUGAUAAAUGAGGUCUGAAAGGAGAGCUAUCAUUCUGAGCCAGCGGUCCCAUGAAAGAUUAAAAUAGCUUAGAUAGAAAGCAUCAGAAAGUCAUGACUGUGGAUGAAUGAAAAGGGAUGAAUACAAGUUACCUGCUAAAUGAAAAGGGAGAAAUAGGAAACAGGAUAAAUGGCAAAGAAGGAAAAGGAAAGUGCUAAGAGUUGUGAAGGAUGCUGGAGCUGUUGUACCAGCCUUAACUUGUGAUGGAAAUGGAAACGAGAUCACAUGGCAGUUGGUUUUAAUAGCAGUGGUUGGCCCAGUGCUUGCAACUCUUUUUGCUUUCUAUCAAAAUAUGAUUUCCUAGUGUGCUGUAUUGCAAAGAGUAAUUGCUGAAAUGCAACGAGAGUGAGCCUGGAAUUGAAUGUGUGAUUCAGCAGGUUUGAAAGUCUGAAUUAUUUCUAGGAGGGGCUAUGUCAGAAGGUCUGCACAAUCAGGUUGAGCUUAGAGACCACUAAGGCAAGAGCAUCAACUUGUGAAAUAGUGUUCCUUGCUCAACUACGGAAUUUCAUUUUUAAAGUUUGCCAGUGCAUUGAAUGCAAAACUGAUAUUUAUGGCUAUAUACUAUUUUCACUUAAUAUUCCUUCCUGUUUCCUGCUUUUCCAUCUCAAUUACUCUACCAUUAGGGAAAUGAGCAGUGGUAUGGUAGCAGAAGCGCUUGUCUCUCCUGGGCUUGAAGCAUCACCAUGGAGCUGCUGGGUGCUCACAAUGUGGGAUUGUCCACCAUAGCAGCAGGCAUGGAUGUAUCUGGCCUGUCAGCCCAGGGAGACACCUCUCUGCUCUCGGGAUGGGUGCACCAGGAGGGUAUUUCAGCAGGAUGGCAGUGCAGUUAGGUGGCUGGAGUCUGUCCUUAAAGUUUCUGCUCUGAUGGAUGCUGAGCUUAGAGAGGGAUUGAGCUGUUUGGAUAUACACAGUUCUGGCUCCUUUGCUUUUUUUUUUUUUUUUUUUUUUAACCCAAAUGGGUAAAAUUUUGGUGCCUCUUACAGGACUGAGGUAGCCAGUGUUCAUACACUGUCCAGGCAUACCUUUGAACAGGGGCUGUGAAGCAGGACUUGAAGCUCGCUCUUUUAGUCCCAUUCAGAAUCUGUCUAUUCCUCUCAGUUCUGUGUCAGUCGCUUGCAUUCAAUUUGUGCCUCAAAGACAGAAUUGCUGUGUGAAGGGCUGGAGAGCCUGGCUAGACAGUCAUAUGCGUCUGUGACUAAGCUGCAUGCGAAGAACUGAAAUAAAUGAUUUUUUAAUUUGAUGUUCUUCCUGUUUGAAUCCUGAGAAUCAUUUUCCUCUUUAUUCACCGGUGAGCUUUUUUCUUUCCUUUCAGAGACCAAAUGAAUAAAGAGCUAUGGCAAAUACUGAAGGUUUAGAAUUCAGAAGGUGGCUCAUAAAAGUAUCUCUCUGAGUUUAUAAAUCAUAUUGUCCGUGUGAAAGAUUUUGGUCUAAUGACUUGAAACAAAUGGAAGUCUGAGGUGUUUUUCAAGGAGUGUUCGUUUCUCUGUGAACAACAAAAUAGCUGAACAAAGUACCGCUGCUUUCGGCAGCAGUUAAAUACACUGAAAGGAGAACAAUUGAUUGAGAACCCCAUAUGUAUCGGUGCCCUCCUUCAGAUCAAUAAAGGAACUGCUGAAGAUGUCAUUAUUAACUUCAAGUGGGUAUACUGCUGUUCCAGAAAAGGUGGUUUAUGCAGAUUGAAUUAUUUCUGUGAUGCUCUUUUCUUCCAAUUGAUUUAGCCAGCUCCUCUGUACAUUCCCAUCAUUCAUCGGAAUGGGUGGCAGCACCCAGCAGCUCCAGCUGGAGAAGAGGCAAAACCAUCAUGGCUGUGGUGUCUGCACGUGUGACCACUGCCCAUGUGAGCCCUGAGUAACGCCCCAGCGUGACAGACAGCUGCAAGUAUUUGUGAAUGUGUUUAACAUGGGAUCUAUCUCAGUGAUAAUUUUUCUGCCUGGGAAACUCAUACGAUGUUGGGGGAAAAAAAUGCUUUUGGCAAUAACUGUAAGAUGAUGGUGUUGGGGAUAAAGCUAUUUGCAGUUGCACAGUGUCAUGAUUCCUAGUCACACAGAUUUUGUUUCAUACAGCAAAGUGUAAGUAAAAUCAACAGUCCUGAUUUUUGCAGCCACCUAUGUGUUAGGAAUUGAGAGCUGUUGCAAAUCGGGCGUUUUAACAUUCCCUGAUCCAUACUCACUCUUCUGCGAGUGCACCUUUCCUCCUGCAUUCAUAGAAUUGUUUGAGUGGGAAGAGACCCUUAAAAGCCAUCAGUUCCACUUCUUGUAAUGCACAGGGACACACACAGCUCCACCAGUGCUGAGAGCCCAUCUGUAGGGCAGAUAACUGUGGGCAUCUGCAGGAAUAGGGCACCCAGCCCUCUGGAGAACUGUGCCAAUGCUUCACUACUCCUAUAGUAAUAAUCUUUUCCCCCAUACAGUCUAAAUCUCCCCUUUCUCAUCUUCAAGGCAAUCUCAGUGCAGUCCUUUCAAAUACAUUUCACAUACAUUUUCCACCUGGGGUUAAAGCCUGAACUAUCCAUUAAUGCGCACAUACCCUUGACCCAAUGCUCUGUUUCUGAUAUGAAACCAUAAGCACAGUGAUCAGCUGUGUCUGCUCCUAAUGUACAAAGUGUUUGAGUUGAUUAUAUGUUAAAAAAAAAACAAAACACCACCAACAACAAAACCAGCAAAUUGUUUUGAAGUGUGCACUAAUGAGACACAGAAAGUACAUCCUCAAGAACAGGUUGACACUGUACAAGAAGUGAGCAGGAUGGAGAGGGCUGGCUUCUGAGGGAGGCAACAAAUGGACUAAUGGUAUUUAUGUGUUAUUUCUUACUUUUUCCUACAGACAGAGACCGUGUGCAUUAUAGUUUUUUAGCCAUAACAAGGAGAUAAUAAAUCAAACUUGGUUUUUUUGUAGUUGGGCAUGAGCGCAUAAAGAAACUUGACCUCUGCAUUCCCCGUCCCAACUUAGGUGUUGCUGUGGCAUGUGCAUCAUCAGCACCACCCAAUGGUGCCUGCUUUUCUGUAUUUUCCUUUUUUCUGCUGCUCCCAAAAAGGCCCAGUUCACUGAACGCAUCUUGCCCACAGUGCUGGUGCCUUUUCUUCCUGAGAACAACAGCAAAGUGGUCCUGUUCUUCCAAUGGUUGGGUCCCAAUUGAGAGAUUCCAGCCUAUUUCUUGGACCAUGGUCUGCGAUGCUAUUUUGUUAUGGAGGUGGUGAUCACAUAUGCUGUCUAUGAUGCUCUUGCCUCUUGAGCUCCCUGCAGCCUCUCCAAUGAAACAACUUCUGUGACGCUUCCCUUCAUCUGUUUCCACCAUUAAUAAGAGUCUUUUCUUUCCCUGAUCUGCUGAUGAGUUAUUUCCUCUGAGGAAUUAAGAUCAAGAGCAUAGUUCAUGGAACGUGGCAGUCUGCUCUCUGUCCCGAGGAUCUGUGUGCGAGUAGUGCAUUGUCAGGAUUUAAUUGCAGCUUAUUCCUAGGCUUGCCUCAGCGGCUCUCGGGAUUUUGAUUGAAGGCGGAGGUAAGAGGGCAUCAGGAAGGCAGACAAAUGAAGUCUCUACAUGCAAAACAGAGAGAGCUCGAUAACCCUCAGAAAGCUCAAAUCCCCCUGUGUAGAGUUUCUAUUAUUUUAUUUUUUAAGGUUGUCUCAGCACUAUUGAUACUAAAUUAAUUUUUUGCACGGGUCUCAAUGUAGCUCUCCUGGAUGUCAAAAUCAUGAAACAAGAUCAAAUCAGAUUUUCAUCACUGUCAGUUUUUGGGGUUUCUUCUGCUGUUGAUCUGUUGUUUGCAUGUCUUUGUGUGUGGAGUUUUAUUGGUGGGUUUUAUUUUACUUGGCCGAUUUCUUGCUUGCUUGUCUAAUUUCAUGACUAAUCAGUGUUUUGGGCCACUGGGAUGGAAGUAACAAAGAAGGUUCUGGGCACAUCACUCCCCUGAGUUUCUUGCAAACCAUGUGAAGGAAAUCACAUAUUGAGGAACAGAUCUCCAUGAGGAAGAGGAGGCUAUACAAUGAAAGAAGCUGAUGAUCGUGGCAUGGCCACGCGAAUGUAUGUUUGCAUUUUUCACUGUUUUGCUUAGUUGCAAUGAAGCAAAAGGAAUCUCAAAGAAAAAUAGUGUAACUGAUCCUAUAAAAUAACAGGAAAUGGUGCCCUGUAGCCUAAUGAUGAUGGGAGGUGAAGCUGAGUGACAACCUAGCAGCAGCCAAUUAGGUCCACCAGCAGGUUUUCCAUUUACUUGUUUUAGGCAACCUUUAAAAGAGGAUGAGAAUGAGGAUCCUUACAGGAAUUGCUGCAGGUCGAAGCUGCAACUUGGCAUAGUGGAUGAAUGCAGCAUAAUUGAAUGCUAUCAACAAAAUUAUCAUUAAUAAAGAGAGAUUUGACACUUGGCUGAAGCAGAGUGCACAAGUAAUAACAAACUGGAGGAAUGAAAACAUAUCUGAUGUAUUGAGCAGAUUCUCCUGGAAAAUGUGAAAAAAUAGAUGAUUCUGGAGGGAAGAAAGCUGAGGCAAGGAGGAGGAACAGAAAAGUAGGUGAGGAGAGAAUUGAGGUUAUCUCAGUGGUAACCAUUAAAACGGGAUUGUUUGCCAAGACCUCCCACUGUAAGGUAGGCAAAGAGUUUUCUGGACCAGGAAAUGUUCUUAUGUUCUUCCAUACAGCAGUCCUACCAAUGAGCAGUAGCAUUAAAGAUGCAUCUAUGAGCGAUCUAAAAGUUGCUAACGUGGAAAUAUUGUGGUAUUCUAUGCUUAUUGUUUUAUCACCAUAGCAGAGAAAGAUCCCCAAUGACUAAAUUGAAAAAAGAAAAAGAAACAGUGGCUAUAUUUAGCUCUCACACAGAGAUCAAUGUGGGACAGAAUAAACCCAGCAUAUUUAGGAGAGCCCUGAGGCUUUUCCAGUCCGUGAAGGAUGCCUGAUGCACAUUUUGAAAUUCAGCAAAUAAUGUUUUUCCAUUGCUGUUAACAGUCUAAAGAUAACUCAGCUCCUCCCUAUGUUUUUCAUGAUGUUAGUCCUGAUAAGUAUGCAUUUCUUUUUAGGACUAGGACCUAAAGGACCAAUCCUUCUGCAAGUUGCCUUAUAUACAUUUUCAACCACAAUCCAAAUGGUCACAAUCCCAUCAGACCUCAUGUGCUCAUGGAGCGCUGCAGCUACUAUGUAUGGAAUCAAUCAUCCAGGAAGCAAUGCUGUAGCCAUUGAGGACUCCUUCAGACCAAGGAGAAGCUGAAGUCUGGGAGUGACCUGUCAGCAGUGAAAAGGGUUUUUUCAUAAAGUCGACAGGUAGAAGGUCCCAUCAGAAUGAUUGCUCCUUCAGAAAAAUCCAUUAAUUAACACUUGUCAUCUGUGACAGUCACAGGUAAUUCUCACACUGACAGGUCUUUGCAUGCGACAAAUGGAUUCCCGUUAUUCCUUUGACAACUGGACCAUGAAAUCUAAUUUUGCCAGGACAGUAAAUGGUAUCACUGUUUAUGCCAGCUUUUGAAAUUCAUCAAAAUGAGCAGAAUGUUCCUGCAGAUGGAGGAGGAAGAAGCUACAGUGCACGAGGAGCACGGGAUUGCUCUUCUCAGGACAAAGAGCAUCUUUCUGAUGAAUAGCAGCAAGUAAUUACAGUCAAUUGGUCUCACUGGAUGAAGUUUGAGGUCACAACAAAAAAAAAGAAAAACUAAACCCAAACCCAAUAAUUCUACAACAAUUUUACUGACUGCUUUUUAGCCACAAGGAGUUAAUAAAUUAAUGAAUGCUUAAAAAACAACAGAACACAGCAUUUCUAUCCCUCUCUACUUACUGUUGGUGCAGCCUCAUCUUGAAUAUUGUCUGUCAUUCUGGUCUUCACAACAUAAGAAAGGAUGUUAAGGUCCGUGAAAGCAUCCAGAGGAAGGCAACAAUGCUGUUUAAAGAACUGGAAGAUAUAUGCUAUCAGGAGAGGCUGAGGAUGCUUGGGUUGUCUAGCAUUUGGAUAAUGCUCUGACUGAUAUACUUUAACCUUUGGUUAGCCCUGAGAAGGUCAUGUAGUUGGAAUGGUCCUUUGCCCCUUCCAACUGAAGCAUUCCAUUCUAUUUCUUGAAGAAUUUAGUGUUCUUAAAUGGGGACAGGCAAGGAAGUUUUAUGCAGGUACUGAAUUAACAGUGAUGUAAGUAAAAAUUCAAGAAAAAUAAAUUGUAGUUUGCAAGGUCAGAUUUAUGUGUCUAAAACCAUAUAUAUAACAUACAUACAUUGCUUAGACACUACAAUUGCAAACAUCCCACCAACGACUGAGAAAAAUUCACACCCUGUUGAAGCUGAUGAAAUUUUUGUCCUUGGUUUCAGAGAAGCCAGGAUUGCCUUUCAGAAGUGUAUGCAUUUGUGCUUGACUUGGGUGAGCUUCAGGACAUUCAGGAAUAACUCUGCUCUAGUUUGUGCAGUCUUCCCAAGACUUAAUUAUCUUUGUUGUUUCAUCAGCACUGGCUUUUUCCCUCAGAUAACUUGGUCAGAUGUGUUCUGGAAUGCCUCCAAUUCUCAUUUCAAUUUUUGACAUGCAACUGAGCAUAUGCUUUUGAAUCUCUUGAAGAACAAGCAUAGCACAAGGGCUGAAAUAAGGCUCAAGCACGUGAUGGAAAUGGCACAGACAUGAGCUUCUUUGCACCGAUAACACUGCUUUUCUGUACAAGUUUAUAUUUCAAGAUGCGUGAUGUACGCAAUUGACAUUAAUAACUGUGGGAUAUUACAUGGUUAUUCUGUAAAUAGAGAUAAUAUUUACUCUAAAAGGUGAGAUCUAAUUCGUAGCAGAGCUCUCCUGAGGAUUUUUCUGAAGGACAAAUGUAGAGGCUUAUCCUAUCUAUUCAGAGGGGAGUGAAAAUGGUGCAGUAGGAUGAAAAAGUUCUUCAGAUACAAUUGUGAAGUGACUUUCUGCUGUAUGACUUCUCAGUAACUGAUUCUGUUUUCCUUCCUCACCUAUUUCUUGAUGUGCAUAUCUACACUGGUGCCUUGCAGACAGGUGUUCUGGUGCUACAUGGUACUUCAGAAAAAACUAAUGAUACAACAGUAUACUACUCCUACAAGACAGCUGAUGCUGGAUUUGAUAUAUAUUUCUACUUUAUCAGUAUACUAAUGUCAGUGCUAUCUCUCUUGCACCUACCAUCAUAGUUAUCAGCAAUUCCUGUAAUACUUGGUUUCACUAUUCCUUUCCUUGUUGAUUAUUUCUACAACUUCCAAGUUUUACCAGUGUUGACUUUAUUAUAUUCCAUAAGAUAGCAACUUUCCACUUUAUAUUUUAGAAUUUCCUGCUGCUGGGGUUGUAGCAGCAUAUGUAUCUUAUAUGUAUCAGGCAUAAGUGUACUGCUGCCUUCCUUGAUUGAUGUACUGUUAUCUCCUGUAAUUUGUUGAAUCUUGCUUACUUUCUCUCCCCCUCUGUUUUCAUGAACAGGAGAGACUGGCUACUUCUCUCCCAUAAAAAUACUUUAUGUAUCAAUCAAUGUUAUAUGUGAAUUUGGUCUUUACAUCAGUGAAGUGUAGUGUGUGAUGAUGUUCAGAGAAUGUCUAAAACAGCCUAAAAGUUUGUUCCAACCUACAGCCCAUAGAUAUCCAUUUCCCCCACUUAUAUGAUGUGUGUGUGUGGUGUGUUAUUGAUUUACAGUGCUCUAUCUGAGCAACAUAAGUGCUCAAGUUACCCCAAAGUAUUUUAGAAAGCAUUUCUCUUAAUCCAACUUUGAUUUGUGUGUGUUCACCUUAUUUUUGUACUCAUUAAUGCUGUUUUAUAUUUUUUUUUGUUUAGUUGUGAUGUUCUUUAUUUUACUAGAAAGGUGGGUAAUUUUUCUUGCCUUUAUAUGAGAGAUGUGAGUGGAUUAAAAAAAAAAUUAUGAAUAUUAAGUCAAAAAUAGAAUAUUGCGCUUGCCCCAACCUGUUUUUCAUUUUGCCAUCUGCAAGCCUUUUAAAAUAUCUGUACUGUGGGAAGAAGGCAUUCAUUUUGCAAAGGCAGUUUUUCAAUUAAGUUUCUUGAUCAAACUUAGCUAUUCAGGACUUUGCUGUCUCAGAAAAGAAAGAGACUUUAUUGAAAAUCAUAUUCUUUGGAAAUUCUAGAAAUACCUAUUACUCAUAUCAUGCAAAGGUUUUCAAUAUAUUUCUGAAAUUCACCCUAAGCCCUGACAUAUGUUUCGAGGCUUUUUUUGAGACAGUGUUGUGAUUUAUCUUAGAGGUAAAUCAACCAGGUAAGAAGAACAAAGAAAAAAGGACUUCUGUAUGUAAUCUUUUUUUACUUUCUUGCAUUUUUUUGUAGCAUUCAACCAGGCUUCCAGGUGUUCGCUGUAUCAUAUCAAAGAUGUCUAAAAAUAUAUCAAUUAAGAGAGUGCUGAAAAGCAGAAGAUAUUAGGAAUUCUCUGAUUAUUUUUCUGCAUGAUGAAGGUUUCUGAGAGAGAGCAUCUAGUUUUCUUCUAGGGCAUUUGGGGUUAAAGAUGUUUUUAAUAAACUGAGGGAGAAUGGCUAACAGUAGAAGUAAAAAUAAAUAUGUUUUAUAGAAUUAAUCAUGUCUAUCUAACAAAAUGGGAAAAAGAUGUUGGAGAGAUAUAGAAGAGCUGGAUGAAAUGGUAGGAGGAUAAAAGAGAAAAGUGUUGCUAGUAACAAGUUCUUAUACAUUGGAAGAAAUGAUUUGAAACACACAGUUACCUUUAAUAAGGUUAUCAUAUGGUUAAUAAAUUUGGAGUGGAAAAAUGGCCUGGCAGUGCUGGAUGCACAAUAAAGUAAGGAUUUUUUUGUCCAUUUUAACGCCACUUAGAAAAAUUAACAAUGUUUAGACAGCUCAUAGAAAGGAAAUAGAACCCCAUUUAUUAUAGCUUGUGAAUCAGUGGUGGACCAUUUUCAAAUCAGAAAAUAAUUAAGAAAGGUGAUACUCAUACUUUGGUGAUAUUUGUGGUAAAGAAGAAUUGAAAUUUCUCAUACUUGCUAUGUUUUAUAAUUUAGGAGUCAUGGGAGACCCAAUCUGAACAGCAGCAAGAGUAAGAUCAGUUAAAGGAUAUCUUUUGCAAUGACAGUGGGAAAUGUAACAGAUUUAGGUCAGAGGCAGAUUCAUAAUCCUACUGUCUGAAACCUACUCUUUAAAUCUAGGACAGACAGUCAUUCUCAGCAGCACGUGCAACAUCACAGAUGGUCAGUGAAAGGUUCUUUCACUUUUGCAGCCUCUGCCAUCUCUUCCAGGUCUUGUCAUGACCUCAGUCCUUGAGCAUGUUUCUUCCACCUGCGCGCCAGGUCCUUCUGGAAUCCAGUCACAGAAGAUGCUAGUUGGCUUGAUCUUCUCUAUGAGGAUAUGAGAUUAUAUGCUAUUGUGAGUGUCCCUAUUUCUUACAAGCCUUAAUGUUCAACUUCCCCUAAAAAAGAUAUAUUUUUGUUUUGAUGACAAUACAACAAUACAGUGUUUCUUCAGCUGCAACAGAAGCUCCUGUUCUUUCAUCCUGUGAUGGCAAUACAUAUUGAGGUAAAAUUGCUCCUCCGGUGAGCUGGUGAAAAUAAAAAGAGGUAAAGAGAUGUUGAGAUUUCUGAGAACUUACUAACAGCUGCUGGGGUGAGUUUUUCCUUAUGAUCUUGAUCACCAGAUCCUUAGACUUAAUAAGAAUCAUGGCUCAUGAGUAUUUCUUGAUUCUUGAUUUCUAGUAUUUCUUGACUACUUUCUAGUAUUUCACAACUGUAAUUUCUCAUACUGCAUUUAUUAUUUUUUUUUAAGUCAUGUAUUGAAUUGUUGGAGUGAACAUGGCUAUUUGAGAUCAGCCCUUGAAAGAAAUCGGGUUUAAAUUCCACGUGAAGAAUGUUUUCCUGGUGUCAUGCAACUUGAGAUCAUCUAAUAUGUUCAGCUGCUAUUUUUAGACCCUUCUCAAAUACUUUACAUCCUUGAACAUCCAAAGAGAUUUGUUAAGCAAAUAGACAAAAUACCAGUAUAUACUUUAUGAAUGCAAAGUAGAAAGAUCCUUCAAACCAAAGAGUUAAUCUGUCAUUAUUAGAACAAACUACAUUUUAUAUGCUUGGGAUAGCAUUUUCAUCCACAGCUCUUGAUCAUUACUUACCACUGCUAUUAAUUUUGACUGGUUUGAGUGGACAUUCUGUAGUUUUGGAAAAAGCUCUGCAUGGCUUCAUACACUUCCUAGCGCCAUUCCUAAAGGGCCAAAAUAUAUGUAUUUUUACUUUUUUUUACUUUUAAAAAAAUUACUUUUUAAAAAAUUAUUAUUGUUGCAGAAUUAACUUCCUUUAGAACUAUGUAAAAAGAAACAGCUGCACGUUGAAUCUGCUGCUGUUGCUUACUUUCCCCUUUGCCUCAUAUCAUACCAUCUUUUACCAAUCAAAUUUAAACGUCUUUAUGUUAAUCUGUUAUUUUACAUCAAAAUAUUCGUAGUAUUGGUCUACAUUCUGGCAGAUCGCUUUAGAAUGUGAGUCAGCAGGUAGGGUUAUGAGUAUGGAUAUGGAACCAGGGAAUGCGGAUCACGUUGUUUUAUCAAAUCUAAGUCUUCAUAAUUGAUGCCUUUAAGAGAAAUAAUGAAACAGUUAAUCAACUUUUACAGCCCCUUGACCAUCCUAACUUUCAGAGGUGCCUGAAUACAUGUAAUAUAAAGAGCUGAUACUCUUUCCCCUUGGGUUAUCUUUCAAAAGGCAUUUGUCUGAUUUGUUUCAUUGAGUCUUUACCCCAUUCAAAGACAUCCUGUGUUUCAGGAAGACUGUAAAAUCGUAGAAUAAAUUUUAUUCUAGUAUAUCUUGCCCAUUAUCAUCAUCAUUAUUAUUAUUAUUAUUUGUAGCUAAAUCAGCUCACCACACUAUAUUUAGCAGAAUGCCAUGCUUCCGAACUGGUAAAACAAAUUUGUCUGGGCUUUCAACAGUGCUCAGUAAUGAUGAAUAGAGAUGCCUUGAAUGCGAUUUUUUUUUUCUUUUGUACAGUACAUUCUGUCUUUAUAAUCUCUUGAAAAAUUCUAUAUAUGCAAUUAUACACAACACAAUAUAACCAGAGGAAAGCAUAAAGCUUUUACAUGUAUUUUACAGACAUAUACACGUUGUUUAAAAAACUUAUUUAAGAAUGUGGAUUACCCAUUGUAUCCGUGUAAUUUUCAAAAAGACAGAAAAGCAGACACUACAAGAGACUGUCAUUUAGAUCCAGACUGUCACCAGCCUGAGACGAACCUAAAGGAUGAAGACAAAUAUACAACUGCAUAAAAAUAAGUGUUUUGACCCCUUCAUGUGUCAGUCAUUCAUCCUGUCUACAGUACAGCAGCACACCUGACAAAAUAGUGAGUUCUGUUGUUCCAUGAGGUUACUUUCAGAUGCUCCUAAAUAACCCCUGUUGCUGCAGCUGCCAAGUCUCAACUGAUGGAAUGUACUUGGACUCAGUUACUCGCCCCUUUCACAGGGGGCAUAAAAGGAAGGCAGCAGUUCAUCUUUAUGAAGGUUAGAAAACAGGAUGGAAAUCUUCAAAGUUGGUUGUGUUCUAUUAUUGGAGGAACAGUGCCUUGCCUAAUGUGUACAAAAUCUGAUAUCAGAGAAGAAAGGUUAAGUAUUCUGGAAUAUGUGCUAAACCAUGCAGUCCUAGAUCUCCUCUGGAUGUAAAAAACACAUUCAGUCUGGGAUAUAUGGGAAAAUAGCCCUCUAGAUGUUCAGCCCUGUAUUUUGACAUUCUCAUCUGUAAAGGUUAAAGUGUGCUUCUUGCCUCCUGUGGGCAAGACUGUCUUGAAACCCUAAUAGAAUAAAGGUAUUUUGAAUAGCUAAGUUUGGGGGCACAAAUUAGAAACGUGGACAGAAGCUAAUCAUUUUUACUUUUAUUAUUUUUCCCUAUCUCCACCAAGGUUCCCUUUUGAAAGCUGUCCCUCCGAUUAUCUUCUAAAAUUGUUUAAAAAGUUUUUGUCCUGGUCUGUGUAACUGUGUUUGCCCUUUGAGGCCAUUUCUCCUUGGUGGUUUUGAUGUUUCAGGAAUUUGACCUUUCUGAGUAUAAGAACGCAUCAUCUGAAUUAGAUAAGGUUUUUUUAAUCCUCUCAGGCAGGUUGCAGAAGCCUCUUCAAUUGGCAGAAGAGAUCAGGAUGGACAAAUUUUAGCUGGGG
ensembl:lncRNA